rnacentral:rRNA from 1 species
GACGAACCGUGCGAACGUUGUUCGGAAUCACUGGGCUUAAAGGGCGCGUAGGCGGGCCGUCUGGUCCGCGGUGAAAUCCUCCGGCUUAACCGGAGAACGGCCGCGGAUACCGGCGGUCUUGGGGAGGGUAGGGGUGCGUGGAACGUCAGGUGGAGCGGUGAAAUGCGUUGAUAUCUGACGGAACUCCGGUGGCGAAGGCGACGCACUGGAUCCUUGCCGACGCUGAGGCGCGAAAGCCAGGGGAGCAAACGGG